UCCCUGGCGCUCGCCUCCCUCCCACCCGGUGCGCGGCGCUCUGGGGCCGGGCGCGGAGGCCGCCGCGGCUCUCCCAGCCGAGCCCGCGCGCCCCUUCUCCCCCGGGCGGGGGUGGGGGCGAGGUGGGGGGGGAGGCGCGGCCCCAGACCCUGCCGGCUCCUUUUGCUGUCCUCCAGCUGUCCCCUCGGCCCCUGGCCGCUUCCCCAUCGGGCAGCGAAACGUACACAAAGAACACGGGAUUCGGGUUAUUUACGAAAUCGUGGUUUUUAAACUGCCGGCUGUGUGACCCGGAGCAAACUGCUCGGCCUCUCGGUGUCAGGGUCCUCGCCCGUAAAGAGACUGGGAAAGAUAAGGGCGAUAAGGCUUUUCGAACACGGGGCCCUGCGCCUGGCACGGCGCGGGCGCGCGGCUCCGUGCGCCCCCCAACCCGCCCGGCGUGCAGCCCGGCCCCGCUCCCGCCCCCCGCCUCGGCCCGACCUGCAGCCGAGAGUCGGGGAAGGCGGGGCGCCCCGGAGCCGCCGACGGCCUCGCGCUCCGAUUUCCUCACCGUACGAAAUGAAAUUCCACAGGGGGAUUCGAGAGGAAAUGAGACCGGGACGCUCCGUGCUUCUCGGCCCGCCGCCCUUCCUGUCUCGGGGACACGGUUUCUAAAUAAGGUAAGUCUAGCAUAUGGCAGAGGCUGGAUGCAAGUUGAAAGGACCUCAGUACCACUCAUGUGGUAAUCAUGUUAUGCCUUGUAUAUACUACCAACCGGUCCUGGGUAAGGGCAAGAAUGGAAUCAACUUUUUUUUUUUUUUUUUGCUAUUUGGCUCUGUGCCUAGAAUUGUGUUAGGCACAUAGAAGCUGCAUGGUCUCCAGCCAUCAUCAUAACCUACCAGGGAAGGAGACUCUGUUUGUUCCUCAAAGAAAUGAAGAAACUGAGGUCAGAACCAAAGUGAUUGUUAGAAAAUGAAGGGGAGAAAACAGAGGCUGAAGGGAGGCCUUUGAAAAAUGAAAAAAGUGGGAGUGGGGGGGAGCAGGGUUAUUUCCCCAGAAAAGUUCCCAGCUGGGAAUCUAUGUACUCAGCAGUAGGGUUGAAUCUUCUCUUUAUCUUUGCAGAGUAAUGCAUGAGACCAUUGGCCUACAGAGAUGAAUAAAUGAUGAGUGAAUCAAAUGUAUAGAUGGUUC
rnacentral:lncRNA from 1 species